AAACUAUACAAUUAGUUGAAUACUCAAAUUACAUUUGGGUCUUAUGAUUCAAUUCUUGUAUAGGAAGAUCUGAUGC
rnacentral:snoRNA from 1 species